UCCAGGACAGGUGACCUGAGACCCUGCAG
rnacentral:piRNA from 1 species